rnacentral:rRNA from 1 species
CAAUAGCGUAUAUUAAAGUUGUUGCAGUUAGAACGCUCGUAGUCGGAUUUCGGGGCGGGGCGACCGGUCUGCCGAUGGGUACGCACUGGUCGGCGCGUCCUUCCUUCCGGAGACCGUGCCUACUCUUAACUGAGCGGGGGCGGGAGACGGAUCGUUUACUUUGAAAAAAUCAGAGUGUUUCAAGCAGGCAGCUCGCUCUUGCAUGGAUUAGCAUGGGAUAAUGAAAUAGGACUUUGGUGCUAUUUUGUUGGUUUCGAACACCGAAGUAAUGAUUAACAGGGACAGUCAGGGGCACUCGUAUUCCGCCGAGAGAGGUGAAAUUCUCAGACCAGCGGAAGACGAACUACUGCGAAAGCAUUUGCCAGGGAUGUUUUCACUG